rnacentral:misc_RNA from 1 species
UUUCAUCCUUUAUUAAUAUUAUUAUGCUGGGGUUAUUCAUUCAAAAUAGAUAACAAAAAUUUUUAUUUAUUUAUUUUAUUUAUUUAUAAAAUAUAAAAUAUUAUAAAAUAAAAAAAUAUAUAUAAAAAAAUUUAAAAAUAUAAAUUAUAUAAAUAUAAAAAAUGAAAAAUUUGAUAGAAUAUAAAAAUAGUUGCUAAUAUAAUGUAAUAUUUUCCAAAACUUCAGAAAUCUCAUUUUUUCAUUAAAACAAGCAACUUCUUCCUUUGAAGUUCAUAUGUUGUUUCAUGAAAAUUUAUACUUUUACCUUAAAGUAAGAAAUUUUACCUUAAAUUAAAAAAUUUUUAAGGUAAAAGUUUGUGAUAAAAGUUUGUGAUAAAAAUUUUAUAUAAAAUAUAUAAUAUAAAAAUAAAAUAAGAAAAUAAAAAAAAAAAAAAAAUAUUUUGAGAAAUUAAUAUAAAAAUAUUAAUUUAUUAAGAUUAUAUAAUCAAAUGUUAAAAUAUUGAUUUUACAAAAUUAUUAAAUUUUAUUAUUUUUUUAUAUUUAAUUUUCUAAAAUAUUAAAAUAUAUUAUUUUAAAAACUAUUGAAUUUUCUAAUAUUAAUUUAAAAACAAAAUAUAUAAUUUUUUUUAUUAAUAAAAUUAAUUAUUUUUUUAAACAUUAAAAUUUCUAAAAUUAUUAAAAUUAAUUAAAAAAAAAUAUAUUUAAUAAUAGAAAUUAUUAAAAUUAAUAUUUUUUUAAAAUAUUAAAAUUAAUAUUUUUAACAAUUAAUUACUUUAUAAAUAAAAUUAUGUUUCUUAAUUAAAUUAAAUAAAUUUUAUAUUAAAAUAAAUAAUAAACUUUAAAAAUAAUUUUUAAUUAUUUUUUUUUAUAAAUUAAUAAAUUCUAAAAAAUCAUUAAUUCUUUAGUUUAUAUUCUUUUUUUUUAUUAAUUUUUUAAAAUUGUAGAAUAUAUUUUCUAAAUAAAUAUAUUUUUUAAUUUUUUUUAAAAAAAAUAAUUAAUGAAUUUUUUAAUUAUUUUUAUUAUAUUCUUUAUUUUUUAUUACUUUAUAAAUUAAUUUCAAUUUUUUAAUUUUAUCAAUUUUUAUAUAUUUAUUUUUAUAUAUAAAUUUUCUAUAUAAAUUUUUUAUAUAAAUUUUCUAUAUAAAUUUUUCUAUAUAAAUUUAAAUUUAAAUUUAUAUAUAAAUUUUUCUAUAGAAAAUUUAAAUUUAAUUUCUAUAUAUAAAUUUUUGUCAGCAAAAUCGUUUUGUACCUAAAAGUGUAUAUAUAUAGGGUAGUAACCUCAAAAUCGAAAAAAUUAAUUUUGACAUAAAAAAUCAAAUUUAUUAUUUUUUGAGUUUCUACAUGUAAAAGUGAUCGUACCGGUCAUAUGAUGUCUACUGAUAUCAUAUUUGGUACGGCCUUUCGUAGAAAUCAUACUCAUUAGUAAUUAUUUUGAUUUAUGUUAAGAUUUCCUUAACCAAACUAAUUAAAUAAACGUUUGGUACUUAUAGGCGAUUUAGUAUUACUAUCAUUUAUAAUUUUAUAAAUUAUGACAGUGAGCCCUCUAACAUUAAUGAUUAGGACUAUGAAGUCUUCUUCAUUUAUUUUUUAAAUAAGAGUUAUUGUAUCAAUAUCUAUAUGAUAUUGUUAUAAAUUUCUCACAGAAGCAGGUACUACAGGAUAUUAGUUGUAUUUUAAGCUAAAAAUUUUGUUAGCCUGCGUAAAAAUUAUUAAUAUUCAAAUUAUUUUAGAGAAUUUCUUUAAAUUAAAUUUGAUUUAUUAAUGAUUGGUUGGUUGCAAAAAAUAAUCAAAAUUAAUUCAUAAUAAAAUUUCGUUCAAAUGAACUAAUUUUUAUUAAUGAAUUAGCAAGUUUACUUGCAAUUUAAUUAGAUUUGAAACUUAUUCUAAUCUAAUAAGAAAAGAUAUCAUAUAUAUUUAUGUGAUAUGUUUUCAACGAUA